rnacentral:rRNA from 1 species
GACGAACGCUGACGGCGUGCUUAACACAUGCAAGUCGAAGGGAGUGGCGAACGGGUGAGUAACACGUGAGUAACCUGGCCUGUUCUUUGGGAUAAGCCUGGGAAACUGGGUCUAAUAGUGGAUGGAUUGGGUUGGGUGCGCGGCGUAGCAGCUUGAUGGUGGGGUGUGGGCGUGCCAAGGCUGUGACGGGUAGCCGGCGUGAGCGGGUGGGCGGUCACACUGGGACGGGGUUACGGCCCAGACUGCUACGGGAGGGAGCUGUGUGGGAUAAUGGCGAAUGGACGAAAGUCCGAUGCAGCGCCGUCGUGUGGGGGGGUCGGGCCUUCUGGUUGUAAUCUCGGUUCGCCCGCGCAAUGGUAGUGAAUAAAGAAGCGCCGGCUAACUACGUGCCAGCAGCCGCGGUAAUUC